rnacentral:rRNA from 1 species
AGAGUUUGAUCCUGGCUCAGGACGAACGCUGGCGGCGUGCUUAACACAUGCAAGUCGAACGGAGUUAAGGGGGCUUGCUCCUUAACUUAGUGGCGAACGGGUGAGUAACGCGUGAGGAACCUGCCUUUCAGUGGGGGACAACAGUUGGAAACGACUGCUAAUACCGCAUGAUACUAUUGGGCCGCAUGGUCUGAUAGUCAAAGAUUUAUUGCUGAAAGAUGGCCUCGCGUCUGAUUAGCUAGUUGGUGGGGUAACGGCCCACCAAGGCGACGAUCAGUAGCCGGACUGAGAGGUUGACCGGCCACAUUGGGACUGAGAUACGGCCCAGACUCCUACGGGAGGCAGCAGUGGGGAAUAUUGGGCAAUGGGCGAAAGCCUGACCCAGCAACGCCGCGUGAAGGAAGAAGGCCUUCGGGUUGUAAACUUCUUUUACCAGGGACGAACACAAUGACGGUACCUGGAGAAAAAGCCCACGGCUAACUACGUGCCAGCAGCCGCGGU